UGUGAGGUGGCCUGCAACCUGCAUUGGUUGAUCUAGAUGCAAAUAGUGGUAUUAAAGAAUUAGGGGCUCAAAUUGCUUAACAACUGCAUCACAAUAAUUAUUUGUAGGUAGGGGUCCUGGACAAACCAAUGGGUAGAGGUUUGUAUACAACCUGAUUCAGCCCAUGAGUUUCUUACCUGUGGAGAAGAUGCUGCAGUAUUUCAUGUCGAUCUCAGGGUUGCCAAAGUAAACAAGUUUUUUUGCACUGAAGAUCGCGAUCGGUUCGCUCUGUACACAAUUUGUUCUAACCCUCGAAACAUCUAUGAAUUUGCAGUUGGUGGGAUGGAUCAGUUUGCAAGAAUUUUUGACACAAGAAAGAUACCAAAGAACGAUUAUGCUGUUGCUGAACCUGUGAAAAUGUUCUUUCCUCACCAUUUGGCCAUGAGAGAGGGUAGGGAGGCAUCCAUUAUGCGGCUUGAUUACUCAUAUAAUGGAACAGGUUGGUUAUAACGUUUUUUUUACUGGGCUACCCCUACUGGGGAAGCCCAGUUUAAAAUUCGGUCGUU